UGUGACCUCCGCAGUCGCAGAGGAGGAGCGCAGCCCGGCCUCGAAGAACUUCUGCUUGGGUGGCUGAACUCUGAUCUUGACCUAGAGUCAUGGCCAUGGCAACCAAAGGAGGUACUGUCAAAGCUGCUUCAGGAUUCAAUGCCGUGGAAGAUGCCCAGACCCUGAGGAAGGCCAUGAAAGGGCUCGGCACCGAUGAAGAUGCCAUUAUUAGCAUCCUUGCCUACCGCAACACCGCCCAGCGCCAGGAGAUCAGGACAGCCUACAAGAGCACCAUCGGCAGGGACUUGAUAGACGACCUGAAGUCAGAACUGAGUGGCAACUUCGAGCAGGGAGCCGGCACUGAUGAGGGCUGCCUAAUUGAGAUCCUGGCCUCCCGGACCCCUGAGGAGAUCCGGCGCAUAAGCCAAACCUACCAGCAGCAAUAUGGACGGAGCCUUGAAGAUGACAUUCGCUCUGACACAUCGUUCAUGUUCCAGCGAGUGCUGGUGUCUCUGUCAGCUGUGAGUGACUGCUUCUGAUGGGGGGCGGGUUUUAUCGAAAUGUCCACUCUAU
rnacentral:sRNA from 1 species